GCCGGGCGUGGUGGCGGGCGCCUGUAAUCCCAGAUACUCGGGAGGCUGAGGCAGGAGAAUUGCUUGAACUCAGGAGGCGGAGGUUGCAGUGAGCCAAGAUUGCGCCACUGCACUCCAACCUGGGCGACAGAGUGAGACUCUGUCUCAA
rnacentral:SRP_RNA from 2 species